rnacentral:rRNA from 1 species
AGCGAACGCUAGCGGCGGGCCUAACACAUGCAAGUCGAGCGGAGGGGCAACCCUCAGCGGCGAACGGGUGAGUAACACGUAGGUAAUGUACCCUCUGGGUGGGGAAUAACCGUGGGAAACCAUGGCUAAUACCGCAUAUGUCUUUCGAGAUGAAAGCAGCAAUGCGCCAGAGGAGCAGCCUGCGGCCGAUUAUUUAGUCCUAGUUGGUGAGGUAAUGGCUCACCAAGGGUACGGAUCGGUAGCUGGUCUGAGAGGAUGAUCAGCCACACUGGAACUGAGACACGGUCCAGACUCCUACGGGAGGCAGCAGUGGGGAAUAUUGCGCAAUGGGCGAAAGCCUGACGCAGCCACGCCGCGUGAGUGAUGAAGG